rnacentral:tRNA from 1 species
GGAGAGUUCGCAUAGUGGCCUAGUGCGUUCGCUUGGAAAGCGGAUGUCGUCGUAAGGCGACCGGGAGUUCGAAUCUCCCACUCUCCGCCA